rnacentral:lncRNA from 1 species
GGUUCCUAUCGGUCGACGGGCUGUGGGUGUAUUGCUCAGUGACGGCUUCGUUUAGUUUCUCCCAGCACCCAUAAUUCAAAGCAAGAACAACGACAUUAUGGGGAGAAAACGUCCUUUUGUGAAACAGAAGGCAAUCCACACCAUUAGUAAACCCCAUCAAUUUUGCCUUCAGAAUAUAUCCAGAUUCUUCCCAAUUCUACCGCCACCAUUCUGGUUCAAGCUACCUGGAUCUCACUUUGUUACCCAGGCUAGAGUGCAAUGGUGUGACCACAGCUCACUGAAGCCUCAACCUCCUGAGCUCACUUUUAAGCAAUCCUCUCACUUCGGCCUCCUGAGUAGCUGGGCCUACAGGCAUGUACCAACACUCCCAGCAAGUUUUUCUUAUUUUUGUGAAGACAGAGUCUUGCAGUAUUGCCCAAGCUGGACUUGAACUCCUGGCCUCAAGCAAUCCUCCCAUCUAGGCCUCCCAAAGUGCUAGGAUUACAGGCAUGAGCCACUGUGCCAAGCAACACUUGCAGUUUUUAAGUGAAAAUGAUCCUGUAAAUAUAUAUAUGAAUAAAAUCUAGAAAGCUAUAUAAAUCAAAAUGUUAAAUAGUGGUUAUUUCUGUCUGGAGGGUUUUUUCUUUUUUACAUUUAUUUUCUAAUUUUUCUACAAUCAGCAUAUGUAAUAAAAUUGUUAACUAAUUUUAAUUAUUAAUGAAGAAGACUAUACAAAGACAAAAAUGUUAAGGAUCUCAGUCUUUUGUUUGGGAACAUAAUGGACUUGGUUUAAAUCACUAAUUUUGCCUUAUAAAAAUAUGUUUAAUAUAUAUCCUACAAAAAUAUAGACAGAAAUGCUGCAUCUAGAAGGAACAUAAUCUAUUAGUAAAUUGUAUGUAACUUUUCUCAGAUUUUUGUCCCUAUAUGUAUAAUGAUUGGGUUACAUUAUUUUCCAAACUCAACAGAAACAUAUUAAUCAAGAAUUAAGGAAAGUCACUUUCAGGUCAACAAGCUUAAUGGCUAUUGGGAAAAUAUUUUUACACAAAUUUCAAGCCAAACACCGUUAUCACUUAAAGCAAAAAACAUUUAGCUAAAACACAAAUUUGUAUAUAUUUUUUUACAUAUAUGGUUUUCCUAAAAGCAUGUCUGAUUUUGUAUUUUAAAGUGUAUUUAAAAUACUGAUGAAAGUACACUUAGUCAAAUUAAAAGUUGAAACUUAAAAAUAUAUGCUUAUUCAGCUCACUUAGACCUGACCUUUCUCUAUUCUUCUUUGGAAUGUAAAUAUAGAAAGCAGGAUUCUUAGUUUUUCCAAUCACAAAGAUAAGUUCUCUUAGGUAAGUUUAACAAAUGUGCUCAAAAGGAAGCUAAUUAAAAACCAAAAUAAAUUUUUAGUAGAAGCUAAAUUUCUACUUAAGUAACUUCAGAUGAAUGUAUAUGACUUCAUACAUGAACUUUCUGUUAAAAUUCAUCUACAAAUGCCUAUUUCUUGAACAAUUCACUCUCGAUCCUGAAAAUGUAGUAUGGUUUAGGAAGCUAAAUGCCAGACAGAACUGGCUCUAAACUGUUUUAUAAAAAAUUUUUCGGCUGGGCGCGGUGGCGUGAUCACGCCUGUAAUCCCAGCACUUUGGGAGGCCGAGGUGGGCAGAUCACGAGGUCAGGAGAUCGAGAGCAUCCUGGCUAACAUGGUGAAACCCCAUCUCUACUAAAAAUACAAAAAAUCAGCCGGGUGUGGUGAUGGGUGCCUGUAGUCCCAGCUACUCGGGAGGCUGUGGCAGGAGAAUGGCGUGAACCCGGGAGGUGGAGCUUGCAGUGAGCCGAGAUUGCACCACUGCACUCCAGCCUGGGUGACAGAGCGAGACUCCAUCUCAAAAAAAAAAAAAAAAAAAUUUUUUUUUCUCAGAAGACCCAUGAGUAUAUUUUUUACAAAUAUUAAAUUCAGGCAGAUCUUUCACUUUAUUCUUCAUACAUCACUCAUCGAAAAGUUGAACCUCUGAGUAACUUAUUGUGAUAACUAGCUAAAUCAGUUACUUUAAAUGUUUGCAAAUAUUAACUCAAAGGGAAUGCGGAAUUAAUGGAGUGAUUUUACUUUUGCAAAGCAAUUUCUAGAAAACAAUAUUAAAAAGCAGGACUAGGUAAAGAAAAUGUAGUACAUAUACACGACGGACUACUAUACGGCCAAAAAAAAAAAAAGAAUGACAUCAUGUCCUCUGCAGGAACAUGGAUGGAGCUGGAGGGCUUAGUGAACUAACACAGGAACAGAAAACCAAAUACUGCAUGUUCUCACUUAUAAGUGGGAGCUAAAUAAUGAGAACCAAUGGGCACAAAUAGGGGAACAGCAGACAUUGGGCCUGAAUGAGGGAGGAGGGAGAGCACCAGAAAAAUAACAAUCGGUUACCACGCUUAGUACCUGGGUGACAAAAUAAUCUGUACCCCAAACCCCCGUGAUACAAGUUUACCUAUAAAACAAACCUGUAAAUGUACCCCUGAACCUAAAAUAAAGGCUUUAAAAAAAGAAAAAGGAACAAAAAGCUGGGCUUCAUAGAAGAAAUUAUUUUAUAAUAGCUCAUAGCAUUGUACUACUUUGUGGCUUUUUAAUGAUAAAGAAAUGACUUAUAUUUGUAAAUCAUUAUUACUAAUUUCAGAAAGCACUUUAGUUCUUGAUGAACCAAAAAGCUUCCAUUUUAUAUUUUCUACAAAAUUACUUUAAUAGAAAUAUGAAUAUAUUAUGAACAUGAAGUCACUAGACCUCUCUGUGAAAUGGAACAAUUUUGCUCCAUAUACCACACACGGUGAUAUAACCUAGGAAGAAAGCACUCUGCAAGAACAGUUACUACCCAGAGAAGUGAUCACAACAACCCAGUUUCCUAUCUCACUCAUCAUAGGCACUUUCUGCCUACUGAAAAAGCCAGUAAUAGAAAAAGAUGCAAUUUGUAGGAGGGAAGAAGGUAAAGAAUAAGGUGAGGGGAUAUACACAAAACAAUCCAAGGCAGGUUUAUUUACAGUCAUAAUAUCUCCCUGAACAUCAGCUGGCACUGAUGAUCCAGAGGAGUACCAACUGGAGACUAUUUCUUUCAUCACCUCUAUCUUAUAUGUAAGGGACUCCAAGUUCAAAGAAAGCUCAAAGGAACAACCAACUGCAAAAGAAUUAACUUUGCACAUCAUCACGGUAUCUGACUAGCGCAUUUGGUUUGAACAGAAUUCCUGCAACAAAUGGAUUACUUCAUAAAAACCCAAUUUCAAAGUCCGCUUAUUAUUGCCCAUCCUAAAGCUUCAAUUCAUAGUUUGGUCUGAAGUUUGCACCACCCCCCAAAGUUCUGUUUACCAGAAGCCCCUUCUACUCAACUUAUAUAACUCAAACCCGUAUCCCAAAUAACACUUUGAAAAGCAAUGGUUUUUCUCAAGAAUUUUAUAUGCAAAUACAGAUAAAGCAGAAGAGAUAAACGCAGCAUAACAGUACAAUAUUUAUUUACCAUCUUACCAUCUCCAGCAGCAAAGCUUUAGAACAAGGAAACCCUCUUUUUACAAAGCAAUCUCCUUCCCACCCCCAAUUAGUUGUUUACAAAUACAAAGUACACAGAACAUCUGCUUUGUAUGAACAAAUCUUAAAACACACAUAUAGAUAUACUCCAUUCUGUAAAGUACUUUAUUCAGUGAAUAAGGCUAGUCCCACCAAACCUGUUAAAAAAGAUUUUCCUAUAUUCUCUUUUGAGUAAACUGCCAACAUCUAUCUCUAUAAAAAUCAUUUUAGGAAAAUGACUUACAUCCUCCUUCAGUACAGGACCAAAAUAUAACAGUAACUGGACCUUAAGAGAUUUUUAAAAUAUACGGCCAGGCGUGGUGGCUCACAACCACAAUCCCAGCACUUUGGGAGGCCGAGGCAGGUGGAUCACCUGAGGUCAGGAGUUCAAGACCAACCUAGCCAACAUGGUGAAAUCUUGUAUCUACUAAAAAUACAAAAAUUAGUUGAGCAUGGUGGCAGGUGCCUGCGAUUCCAGCUACUCGGGAGGCUGAGGCAAGAGAAUCGCUUGAACCCGGGAGGCAGAGGUUGCAGUGAGCCAAGAUCGCACCACUGCACUCUAGCCUCAGCGACAGAGUGAGACUCCGUCUCAAGAAACAAAAAACAAAAAAAAAAAAACAAAAAAACCCCACAGUAACUCUGAAUAUGAAGUGUGACAAAGCAAAAGGGAGUUUUUUAACCCUGAGUGCCACUGUUCCACCUCUGGCACAGAAGGAAAAAAAAAAAAAAGGAUGAACUGUAGAGAAAAUAAAAGUAAAAGUGGGAAUGGGGCCUGGUACGGUGGCUCACGCCUGCAAUCCCAGCACUUCGGGAGGCCAAAGUGGGCAGAUCACUUGAGGUCAGGAGUUCGAGACCAGCCUGGCCAACAUGGCAAAACCCCAUCUCUACUAAAAAUACAAAAAAUUAGCCAGGAAUGGUGGCAUGCGCCUGUAAUCCUAGCUACUUGGGAGGCUGAGGCAGGAGAAUCGCUUGAACCUGGGAGGUGGAGGUUGCAGUUAGCCGAUAUGACCCCACUGUACUCCAGCUUGGGCGCCAGAGUGAGACUGUCUCAAAAAAUAAGGGAAAAAGAAGGAAAAAAAAAAAAAAGAAGGUAAAGGUGGCCAACAGCAAGGAAAAAAACUUAAAAAACGAAUACGAAGUUGACAAAAUGUGUUGGAGCUGCUGGAGAUAUUACUGGGACAAGGUCUACAACCCAGUUUCCUAUCUGAAACACCUAGAGAGGGUUCUGGUGAUAGGAACCCACUUCCUCCUUCAAUACAACACCUCCAAAUGCCAAUGAAGCAAUAUUUUUAUAAGUAACUUUAUUUUCCCCAAGUCCACCUAGAAAUGAUCUGUAAGUCAAAACACAAGGAAAUUAACCACUUUUAGCUACCCUGAGGACACCUUUCCAUAGGUGACCCUGAAGUAUGCAACCAUUUAACCAUGAAGGGAUACCACAUUCCACUUCAGGAACAUUAUCCUGUUCAUCCUCAGAGUUGUUUUCUACCAGUGCCUCAGUUCUUUCUGAUUGCUUGAGCUGCCCCAGAGCCAGAGGUGCACUGUAGAAAGCCCACCUUGGGCUCAGUUCCGGGAAAGAAAGAAUUGUUCUAGAUGUACAUAAUGGACUAUGGUACAAACCAACCCCUAGAGAGACAACUCCUAGAACCUUACAAGUAAUGGCUGUACAAACUUAGCACACUUUGAAUAUGUAGGAACCAGUACAUAUUCACAGAUAAUUUAUCAUCAUCUAUUUAGUCUCCUUCAUUUCUGUUCCCCCUAAAGACUAUUUCUUAUAAUUCUGAAACCAGACACACCCCAUUGUGUUACCCACACUGUUCCACACUCCUGUUCCUCCAGCUGAAUGUCUGGCUCCUGUUUCUCCACCAGGCCAACUAACUCUUGCCUAAUCAUCCUCCAAAACUCAGCUCACACACUUGGUAAGAAAAGCUUUUCCUCACCCCUCUAUAUGGCUUUUCUUAUUCCAUCACCACAGGCAUUCUUCCAAAAAGGACAUCUGCUCUUAUACUUUAGUGGUAUUUAUUUCUCUGGAGAAUAUACCAUCUCUUAUUAACCCUCAGUAUUCUCAGACCUUUCUCAAUACCUGCCUGCACAUAGCAGGUACUGAAAAAGAUGUCUGACAAACUAAAAGACUGUUUUCAACACAGAUAUGAAAUAACAAAAUACCAUCUAUCAAAAAUUGUAUACACAUACAUAUACACUCUAACUCCUCAUUCUACAUUCUCUUAUUUUAUUAUUAUGAGCAUUUCUUAGCUUGUACUUGAGAAAAGAGACUAUUUUACUUUAAAUAUAUCUUUUAAUGACUUAGUACACUGUUAGGCUUGUAAGACAGCCUUAAAAAAUCAUAAAGGGGAACAUGAUCACAUGGCAUGAAA